UUCAGCAGCUUGAGGAAAAGCAAGGAGGCUUUGCCUGUUUGGUCUAGCUCACACUUGGGUCUAAUCUUGCAUAUGCGAGUGUGUUCAUGCAUGCACACACGCCCCAGAAUCUCGGGCUAGGAAGUCUGGGCGGCACUGAGAUGUAUGUAUCAGUUCAAGAUUUCAGCUAACAGAAGCCCUUAACGUAGGUUUCUGCAAUAUACUAAGCAGGAGGUCCUCUGAUAUCAUGCCAGAGACGCACUGGAGCUUCUCAAAGAGUUUCCAGGAUUCCUGAGAUCUCAAUCGAGUGUAUAUGCAGCCUAAAGACACAGCUGUGAAGAGAAGGCUGGGGGACGUGGCUGCUUCUGGACCGAAUGCUCAGUCAUGCUGCACAGGACCGUGGGCAAAUCUCCUAAGCCCUGAGGAGGACUGGUCAGUAGACAAAUGACACUAACUGUGGACGGCAGGUCCGCAUUCCAGUUAGGAACUCUGCAUUCAGACUGCCAGGUGUGAGUCUACUAUUGUGUAACUUGGGUUUGGCAGUAUAUUGUGCGGCAUCAGUGUAUUACACUUUGACGUGACACAAGGAGAAGGCACAGCCCUGCUGCCUUUGGAUCCAUACAGAUGGUAUCGCUGUGUCCACUGUUUGUAAGACAACAGUAGAAGCACACCAGCCGUGAUGGCCUGUGAAAAGAGAACGGGAAAGUGACAUCCACGAUAUGAGGUUCCUCUGGAAGGAGUUCACUGUCUUUCAGUUUGAC